rnacentral:rRNA from 1 species
GAUCAUGGCUCAGGACGAACGCUGGCGGCGCGCCUAACACAUGCAAGUCGAACGGGGUUAUACGGGAUGAAGUUUUCGGAUGGAAUUCUGUAUAACCUAGUGGCGGGACGGGUGAGUAACACGUGAGCAACCUGCCUAUCAGAGGGGGAUAACGAUUGGAAACGAUCGCUAAUACCGCAUGACAUAGCGAAACCGCAUGGUUUUGCUAUCAAAGAUUUAUCGCUGAUAGAUGGG